ACUGCUAUUUGGGUGAGGAUAAGCCAUGCGAGUUGGAUGGGAUACCUAAAGUUCCCAUAGCAAACUGCUUAGUAACACAUGAUCAACUUGCCCUAUGGAGAAAACUAACCUCGGGAAACUGAGGAUAAUGUUUCAUAGUUGAAUAGGCUUGGAAAAGUUUUUCAAUGAAAGGAAUAAGAUAAAUGGUUCUUAUUUGCCAUAGGAUAGGAUCGUGGUCGAUUAUGGUAGUUGGUGAGAUAACGGCUCACCAAGCCGAUAAUCGAUAGGGGCCGUGAGAGCGGGAGCCCCAAGAUGGGUACUGAGACAGCGACCCAGGCCUUACGAGGCGCAGCAGGCGCGAGACCUCCGCAAUACACGAAAGUGUGACGGGGUUACCCAAAGUGUUCUCUUAAGAACUGUGGUAGGUGAGUAAUGUCCCCUGCUAGAAAGGAGAGGGCAAGGCUGGUGCCAGCCGCCGCGGUAAAACCAGCUCUUCAAGUGGUCGGGAUAAUUAUUGGGCUUAAAGUGUCCGUAGCCGGUUUAGUAAGUUCCUGGUAAAAUCGGGUAGCUUAACUAUCUGCAUGCUAGGAAUACUGCUAUACUAGAGGGCGGGAGAGGUCUGAGGUACUACAGGGGUAGGGGUGAAAUCUUAUAAUCCUUGUAGGACCACCAGUGGCGAAGGCGUCAGACUGGAACGCGCCUGACGGUGAGGGGCGAAAGCCAGGGGAGCGAACCGGAUUAGAUACCCGGGUAGUCCUGGCCGUAAACGAUGCAUACUAGGUGAUGGUACGGCCAUGAGCCGUAUCAGUGCCGUAGGGAAACCGUUAAGUGUGCCGCCUGGGAAGUACAGUCGCAAGGCUAAAACUUAAAGGAAUUGGCGGGGGAGCACCACAAGGGGUGAAGCCUGCGGUUCAAUUGGACUCAACGCCGGGAAACUUACCAGGGGAGACAGCAGAAUGAGGGUCAGGUUGACGACCUUACCUGAUGAGCUGAGAGGAGGUGCAUGGCCGUCGCCAGUUCGUGCUGUGAGGUAUCCUGUUAAGUCAGGCAACGAACGAGAUCCGCACCUUUAUUUGCCAACAAGAAGUUACGACUUCGUUGGGAACACUAAAGGGACCGCCGUCGAUAAGGCGGAGGAAGGAGCGGGCAAAGGCAGGUCAGUAUGCCCCGAAACCCCUGGGCUACACGCGGGCUGCAAUGGUAUGAACAAUGGGCUGUAACUCCGAAAGGAGAAACCAAUCCCGAAAUCAUAUCACAGUGGGGAUUGUUGGCUGUAACCCGCCGACAUGAACGUGGAAUCCCUAGUAAUCGUGUGUCAUCAUCGCACGGUGAAUACGUCUCUGCUCCUUGCACACACCGCCCGUCGCUCCAUCCGAGUGUACUAAAAAUGAGGUUUGGUCAGACUGGUCAUAUCGAGUUUCUAGUAUGCGAGGAGGGAGAAGUCGUAACAAGGUA
rnacentral:rRNA from 1 species